ACUUCAAAUAGAGGACCUAGAAGGGCCGCGGCGGACGUGAGGGCGGGUGGCGCUGUGACGUCACGCGCGGCCUGAGCCGAGGGUGCAGAGCACUUGCACGUUGCAAGCGCGGGCAAUGGGAUUGGUUCCGCGGUGUGGCGCCCUCUUGAGGUGACGUUGGCCCUGUUGCCACCUGCCAAGAAAGGAAAAUCUCUGUCAACGGGCGGGGGUGUCACGGGCGUCGUGUUGGUAUAAUCAGGAGCAAAUUGGUGCAAACGUGUCCAAAACCAAAACAGGCGAGCUUGGAUAUUUCCAGGACAACCAUCAGGGUCCCAACAUCACUGAUACCUGCCCUGAGUUCCCCUUUAUUUUUUGUGGGUCAACACAACACCCCUGACAAAGUGCUGUUACAAGGUAUUGAAGGAAAUUAACAUGGUAGCUAGUCCCUGCCAUCCAGCAUUGCUGAAAGCAUCACUGUUGCUGCUGCCAACCAUUACUGACAGGAAGGACAAGGAUGACUUGUUGCCUGUGGUCUUCAGCAUUCCCCUUUCACUUCUGGAAAGAAGCUCAGUCCAUCUUCCUUUUUAUUUCACCACCUGUAAAACCACUGAAAAACUUCAAUGCUGUACUUUGUUGACUUGAGUUACCUAAGGUGUUUUUGACCACUUGAGGUUUCACAACACCUCGCUCCUUCCCAGUUUGGUUAGGGAAACUCCACAGCAGCAGUCACAAAAUGAUGUACACCCAACUCACUUGCUCAAACUUCUUUUUAUUUCAGGCUUAAAGUCAAAAUUAGCCAAACUUCUUGAUAAUUACAUUAUAUAUAUUUAUAUAUCUAUGUAGAUAUACAGAUAAAAUUAUAGAGAUUUUAUAGAAAAGACUUUUUGCUUUUGUCUGCAACCUCCCCCCCCAAAAAAUGUGUAAAUAAAAAUAAUAAAAUAGCCAAAGAAGUGGCAGCGUUUGUC